UCCAGCUCCCCUAGUGGAGGGCAGAGACCCCAGCCGCUGGCGACCCGUGGCAGGAGUGCUGUGGCGGGGAGACAGCGACAGCUGAUGUAUGUUGCAGGCGUGCCGUGUUCUGUGCGGCGCCCAGCUCUGAGUGUCCUCAGGAUGACAUUCUGGGCAUCUGCGAAGCCCCGUUUCCUGGGUGGUGAGGCCAGUAAACUGAGGCACAGUCCCUGGGGACGCUGGGCCCAUAUCCUGUCCGUGUGCCCGGCAGCCCUGUCCCCUCACCUGCAAGGUGGGCCCACUGCAUCAGAGUCCCGCCGUUUCUGCAGGCGUGUGGCCUUCUACAGGACAGACACUCGAUGGCUGUGCCACAGUGAGGCCUUAGCCAGCCGUCUCCGGUUAUCGGGCCAGGUCAGGAGCCAACCUCAGCUCCUGAGGGGAGGGAGCCUCCACAGAGAUGCCCAGUGACACUUCCCUGAUGAUUCUAGGGCCGCGGACACUCCAGGUUUUGUGGUCAGUGGAGCCCAGCCUCAGAGACACUGUGCCCACCCUGGACCGCGGUGCUAGCUGCUCUGUGACCCAGGCCCGUGGGUCCAAGCCCUUGGUGGCGGGAGCUCCUGGGGCCUGUUGUCUGCCUCUGGGCUGCCUCAGGUGGUGACUGCCUGGGGCUUGGAGAGCGCACCCCACCUCCCGCAGCCUCAAGUCCUGGGCCACUUCCGCCAGCCUCCUUGUCACCGGAGUUCACCAUACUCCUUUGAAUUCAGUUUUCCGGUGGGGAACGGAGAGGCCAGGGCACAGCCGGGUGCCUGCGGGUGGACUCGGCUGUGCUCUGGGGGAAGGGGGCGGGCUGCCCGGGGGCCUCAGUGCAGACACCCAGGACUGUGCCCCCAGGCCACCUCCCGGAGGCCUGCUCCAGGCGGCUGGUGUGUGAAGCUCUGGGCGGAGCAGACGCAUCCUGGGUCCCAGGCUCUCGGGGCAAUGAGCGCUCUCCUCAGCCACCAUCCAGUGGAGUGAAGUGACCCAGCUUCCUGUUCUGCCCCUCCCCCCAGCAGCUGGCCGUGAGCCUGAGAGACUGUCCUUCCUCCUGGGGGGCACGUCAGGGGAACCGACGACUUCGGAGUUUACAGCAAUUCUUAAGGUUGAGUCCUGACACUGGUCUCGCUGGGCUAAAAUCAAAGUGUGAGGGGGCUGGUUCCCACUGGAGGCUCCGAGGAGAAUCCACAUCCGUCCUGGGCCAUUUCCAGUCCUGAGGGCCCCGAGUCCCUCUGCUCCUGAACCCCUCCUGCAUCUUCUGGGCCAGUAGCAUCGGGCUGAGUUUUCAGGACUAGCAACCUGUACCCCCUUUCCAGGAGCAAGGGCUGCUGGCUGAGGUGUUGUGGAGCGACAUGGAUUCUGGCGAAGCAGGCUUCAGCUCAGGACUGCAGUCACCAUGCCCAGGCGGGGUUUCCAGAGGCCCUCCUGCAGAGGCUGCCUGUUGGGACUUUCCCGCUGUGGAUGGCCAGAGUUUCUCGGGUCAGCAUCUCCAGUCCGGUCGAGAGGAGCCUGGUCCCCCGACCUUGAUCCCCCACAGCUCUUGGCACGUAGAAGCGCUCAGUGUAAAGUCUUUAACUGGUUUGCUGUUCAUACCAAAUUGGCACACUCGUCAUUAGUCCCUGGCGCCCUGCACGAGACGCCCUCUAACAGGCGGGUUGGGCUGGGGAGGAGGCGUGACGGCGCCUCACCCCGAGCUGGUGGUGACGCUGCUCCUCAUCUCCGGUUUUCACUGAAGAAAGGGAAGGCGGUGAUUUUUGCCCACCUGCUACAUGAGGGUUUCAGAGCUCACAAGCUGGACGGAUGUACGGGUGGACACAAAAAGUAUUUUUGCGAAAUAUGCAUUACACAAUUGUGAGCUGUUGCUCUGGGCACAGCUCCCUCAUCUGAAAGCAGAGCUUCUCCUGGAAGGCGUCCGGAGGGCUUCCGCACCCCUGGUCCCUGCCGUGCUGCCGUUCCGUCAGUUCCGCGAGCAGCCUCUCCACGCAGCCCCGCGGGGCAGAGCUGCACCUGCUGCGUGUUUGAGCGCCUCCGCCCCCGCCGCUCCCCCGGUCUGGGUAAAACCCUGGUUGACACUGACCAGAACCCAGUGUGACUGAGCCACCCUGGGCACAGCGGGCACUGUAAUCCGUCAAUUUGGGGAAUUAAUCUGUGGAAGAAUGAACCAGAGGCAGGGGUCAGGCAGUAGGAGGCCAGCCCACUGUUAGGUCGGCUCUCCACAGGGGGCUAAUGAGACCCACGCUGGCCAGUCCUGCCCUUCCCGGCCAGGUCCAUGCUGCCUGCUCCUCUGCAGGUCUGUCCUCUCGCCGCCCGGGGCCAGAGGCAGCUCUGCCCCGCCGGCUGCCCCAGCCCUUCCCAGAGAGUCUUGUCCCCUCGGCCUGAGCCGUGACGUGGGAGGACUGCCAGCAGAAUGGUUCCCUGGCUUGGUUUCCCUUCCAGAAAACCUCUGUCCAAACCCAGAAGCCAUUCCAGGAGAGCGUGUCUGAGGGCCUCUGCCCAGGGCCAGCCUGUGGGUCCGCACGGCCUGCCCCGAAUGGCCACAACACUGGUCCCUCAGUGCCAUGCCCAGUUGGGUCAUCGGCCCGGCUGGGCCCGGAAGGACAGGUGGCCGCCUGGGGGACAGCCUGGGGCCGGUGUUAGUCUCAGAGGCACUUGCUUGCGCCAGAGGUACUUUGCUUCCUGGGGGACGCUUGCUCUUUGGAUGUUGCCUGAUGCUCAGCUCAGCGCCUGACAUGGGGCGUGUUUUGGGCGGGGAGCUUUGGAAAGGCCGUGAGGCUUCAGAAAGGUGGCUUGCCCGGCGGGGAGGCCCCCUCCCAGAGGCCCUGGAACGGAUGUGUCCUGAGGCACGCUGCUCAGCGAAGCUGCCAGGGCCUGGGGGCUGCAGGCAAGAUCGUGCUCCCACGUGAGCAUUGGACGGGAAGGGCUUAUCAUCUCCAGUGUGGCGUUUACUUGUCUGUACUAACACGUGAUGUGUGCA